rfam:Ixodes scapularis strain Wikel colony gcontig_1108378851230, whole genome shotgun sequence.
GUUAGCUCAGCCGGUAGAGCGCUCCACCUGUAAUGGAGAGGUCCCGGGUUCGAUACCCGGAC